CAGCCGCCACGGUAAUACGUAGGGUGCAAGCGUUAAUCGGAAUUACUGGGCGUAAAGCGUGCGCAGGCGGUUAUAUAAGUCAGAUGUGAAAUCCCCGGGCUUAACCUGGGAACUGCAUUUGAAACUGUCAGGCUGGAGUCUUGUAGAGGGGGGUAGAAUUCCAGGUGUAGCGGUGAAAUGCGUAGAGAUCUGGAGGAAUACCGGUGGCGAAGGCGGCCCCCUGGACAAAGACUGACGCUCAGGUGCGAAAGCGUGGGGAGCAAUCAGGAUUAGAUACCCCAGUAGUCCCUGUCUCUUAUAA
rnacentral:rRNA from 1 species